CUGCUGCUCACGGCUCCUUCAGUCAUUAUUUCCUGCCAGGUUUUCUUUCUCCACUGGUUUGGUUCCAGACGUUUGUUCCUAUUGAAUCCAGCAGUACUUUUGGGUUCAUCCUUGAAAUUCUGGAUUUCCUGCAGCUCCUUCACUUCUGAUAUUGUCAAAAUGAUCUGGGGAUAACCAGAAGUGGAUAACCAGCCCUCCCUUUGGUCUUUCUUCAUCUUAAUGUGGACAAAGUGAAGACAGAUGCACAGCGAGUUCCGGUUAUCAGUUUCUGCAUGUUCUCCUGAAUCUCACAUCCAUAAUUCUGCUUCAACUAUUAAUCGUGUUCACUGACUGAUCUUUACGGCUGAGGCAAGGCAAGUACGCUUUGUAAUCUGAAUAAUAACUUCACAGAAAGGCUUGGUGUUAUAAUUGUAGUUUGAGCAGAAAUGGAUAAUAUGAGGAAAAUGGCUCGACUGUGGUGUGAAUAUCUGGUUCUGUUAGUGUUUCUGACUGGAUCUCACAGCCAGUGCAAACACAGAUUAGACAUUUCUUGGAGUUUCAAAUGUCGAGUUUUUUUUUUUCUGGAACAUUUUUUAGUUUAAUUUCAUUUUUUUGGUGGAAAUGUAUUGUUUUUUUCUCCACACUGGCCCUGACAUGCUGUCGUAUCUUUGGGUCAUGACCUUCAGUGUGGACGGGAGUCAGCUGAUCUAUUUAGUUUUAUGGUGUCUAAGGCUCUGAGUUUCAGCCAAAAACUUUCUGCCUGAUUACUGUAUUUGUUCACAUAAACAUUUCCCAUUUCCCCUUGAUGCUGUCGAAAUGAUUUCUCCGCGUAGUUUUGAUUUUUACAGACUGAGCGACGACUAAACCAUCAAAUUCUGCCUCAUCUCCACAAUUCGUGAACAAAAUAGGAUUCUCAGUUAAUCUCCUUCAACUUAUUUAAAGACGAACGUAAAAAGUGCCUCAGUCAUCUUCAAAGACGUUCUCUUAUCGUCAUAAACAGCAGGAGGAUUUCAGUUUGUUUAUUUCCAACUUCUGUGUGUUUGGAACAUUUCUGACUUUAGAAAACGUUUCUGAACAAAAGGCCCAUCCAUCUGGAGACCGAGACCCUCCGCUGCCCCCACACGCUCCGACAGCUGCUCCUUCUCCAACUGUUCCUGCUUCCAUGCCAGAAUCAUCAUCAGGAGUCGCAACGUGCAUCCAGGGAUCAUUUAUGGUUUCAAAAAACUAAAGAUUUGUGUUACCUGAUGCACUAGCAACGAAAACAGAAACCAGGAUAUUUAACCAACAACAGAAAUUGGCCUCCAGUGUGACAAUGUUAAGGUUUUAUUUCACUAAAAAUCCAACGAACAAUCCAACAUUCUUAAUUUAGAUCCAUAAAAGAUGACAGAUGUUGAAGAAUGUGACUUAAUUUGAUUGUUAAAUGUUGUUUUCUUGCUAAAACGUUCAUAUUACUUGAACAUUAACACAAUUUGUCAUGUUACGAACAAAAAAUUAUAAAGGUAAUUAGAUUUUAUGUGUGCAUCUGUAUUCUGACUUGCCAAGUUAAUUAAAUCUUCUUUGGGUAUAUUUC